UACGGGGGAGCAAGCGUUGUUCGGAUUUACUGGCGUGAAAGGGCGCAGGUGGCGGUCGUGACAAGUCACUUGUGAAAUCUCCGGGCUUAACUCGGAACGGUCAAGUGAUACUGUCGGACUAGAGUACAGAAGGGGCAACUGGAAUUCUCGGUGUAGCGGUGAAAUGCGUAGAUAUCGAGAGGAACACCUGCGGCGAAGGCGGGUUGCUGGGCUGAUACUGACGCUGAGGCGCGAAAGCCAGGGGAGGCGAACGGG
rnacentral:rRNA from 1 species